CACUGCCAAGCUGGUGCUGAUCCUAUUGUACUACAGCGGGAGCUCCCACAUCCUUUUCUUCAUGAUGUAGCCCUGAUGCAUAUAAGCAGGAGACAGUUUUGCCUUUUCUGAUUCUGUGACUGUUAGUGUACGGAUGUAUAUAUACUUAUUUCUUUAUUUUUUUUAGGGCUGCACUUGAGGCAUAUGGAGGGUCCCAGGCUAGGGGUCGAAUCGAAGCUGUAGCUGCCAGCCUACACCACAGCCACAGAAAGGUGAGAUCUGAGCCGCGUCUGUUGCAGAUGCGACUUGGAUCCUGCAUUGCUAUGGCUCUGGCGUAGGCCGGUGGCUACACCUCCAAUUGGACCCCUAGCCUGGGAACCUGCAUAUGCCGCAGGAGCGGCCCAAGAAAAAGACAAAAAANAAAAAAGGUGUGCAGUCAGCUCCCUCUGGAGAAGCCUUCCUUGAGCCCGCUUAGGGGGACCUGAGCCCAAGGGGAGGAAAGGGGAGGAAAGGUGUCUCUGGGUAGAACAGCCCCCAUGCUUCAGGCACACUGAGGAGGGAGCCAGGCAGCUUGCCUCUGACACCUCAGAAAGAGUGACUGUACAUUUCACAGGAUAUAGAAAUCCUGUGAGGCAUGACGCACACAAAUGUUCUCUCUGACCUUCUGCCCAAUGGGAUGGAACACAAUACAUUUCAAGAUGUAAGAUUUUUAAUGUGGGGUUUUUAGAAAGGCCCCAUUAUAAAGAAUUUGUGGUGGAGGAUACCUGGAAGGGGUGCCCAGGCGCGCGCACACACACACACACACACUCACAUGCAUAUCCCUUUGCACACAGUUCUCUUUGGCUAAGUCGUCCUUUCUUUUCCAGCUGCGUUAAGGUACCAUUUGCCUUGGGAACCACUGGGGGCCAGGUGAGGCUCCCUUAUUUGCUGUCCUUCUGCCUGAGCACUUCUGACCCUCCAGGGUUGUCCUUACCUGCUCCCUCCCUCCCUCCACUCCAGGACUGCCAGCUCCUCAAGGACUGUGCUGUCUUUAUGUCCCUAUCACCCAGCACAGUGACCAACCCACAGCAGGUGUGUAAUAAACGUUUGCUAAAUGCACAAACGUGUGCCCGCCUAUGUCACUGCAGGAACAUAUUUCAGCCUUGCCUCAGUUCAUGGACCAGGGAACAGCCCCAGGGCCACAGAGCACUUGCUCUGCUAGAACAGCGUGUGGUUUGGAAACCCGCGAAAUGAAAGACAGAUGAGUGGGUCGUCCUUGGACAGUAGGCUAGGGUCCAGCCAGAGAGGUAUUGCCUUGUCCCAGAGAAGGGCAAGGCUUGAGUUUUUCUCUGGGAUUCACUUCCCUACCAUAAAAGGGCAUGGGGUGGGGGGGAAAUCCCCAGUGACAGUAAAGUCCUUGUCUUCAGGGGUAUGCAGAUGCCUCUGACCUUGGACUCACCGAUGACAUGGUAUCGAUUGCACCUGCAGUCCCUCUGCAGCUGCUGCCAGCGGAAGCCAUGCUAACAGGGCUCUGAGAGAGACAAGUUUUGUUCCAGCCUGACAGGCAUGGCUGGCUUUGCAGCCCCCAGCCUGGGCAAGGGUUUCUGCAAAGCUGUGUCUUGCAGGGAUUACAGUUUUGUCCUGGGAAAAACACAGAUUGGCCUGAACUGGUUGAGGGGAGGAACAGAGAGAAAGAGGUUUUUCAGGCUUUGCAGAGCUGCUCUAAGCACAUGGAGCCGAUUCUCAGAGCUGCUGGGCUCCACCCGCAGAAGGCUGCAUAGCAACAAGGGGGGGCUGGUGGGCGGGGAGCCGUCCAUUUCUGUUCUCGAGAGAGCUGGUCACAGAGAGUAAAGGCAUCUUUCUCCUCUGAUUUUUUUUUUUGACGGUUUUAUUUUUUUAUGUAUUUGUUUUUUUAAUGCCAUGCCAUUUCUGUUAUAUAUUAAAUUUCUUUUUAAAAAAAAUUAAAAAAAAUUUUUAUGACUCACAUGAAUGUAUCACAUCUAUAGUUGUAUAAUGAUCUCCUCUGAUUUUUCAUGUUGUGCUUCAGGUGAAGAGUCAUCUCAAUUGUGCUUUAUGUAAACUGAGAGAAGGACCACAAUUGCAAGUCCUUUAUUUACACCAUUUCAUAAAAUCCGCACAAUCUUUUUGUCCCCAUCUUCACAGAUGAGGCAAGGGAGUCUUGGAGAGGCUAAGUAGGUUGUCCCUUUGCACCACCCACUUAGUAAAUGACAGAGCCCAGAACAGAAGCCAAGGCGUUUAAAGCCAUACAUGGG
rnacentral:lncRNA from 1 species